UACGUAGGGUGCAAGCGUUUAUCCGGAAUUAUUGGGCGUAAAGAGCUCGUAGGCGGUCUGUCGCGUCUGCUGUGAAAACUCAGGGCUUAACCCUGAGCUUGCAGUGGGUACGGGCAGACUAGAGUGCGGUAGGGGAGACUGGAAUUCCGUGGUGAUAGCGGUGAAAUGCGCAGAUAUCAGGAGGAACACCGGUGGCGAAGGCGGUUCUCUGGGCCUUACCUGACGCUGGAGGAGCGAAAGCGUGGGGAGCAACAGG
rnacentral:rRNA from 1 species